rnacentral:rRNA from 1 species
GACGAACGCUGGCGGCGUGGAUUAGGCAUGCAAGUCGAACGGUAUCAUCCUUUCGGGGGUGAGAGAGUGGCGAACUGGUGAGUAACACGUAGGUUAUCUACCCUCAAGACGGGGACAACCCAGGGAAACUUGGGCUAAUACCGGAUGUGAGCAACUUUUAGUUGUUUGAAAGGUGGCGUAAGCUGUCGCUUGGGGAUGAGCCUGCGUCCUAUUAGUUAGUUGGUGAGGUAACGGCUCACCUAGGCAAUGAUAGGUAGGCGGCCUUAACGGGUGGUCGCCCACACUGGGAUUGAGAUACGGCCCAGACUCCUACGGGAGGCAGCAGUCGAGAAUAGUCUACAAUGGUCGGAAGACUGAUAGUGCGACGCCGCGUGAACGAUGAAUCCCUUCGGGGUGUAAAGUUCUUUUAUAUGUGAGCAGUGCUUCUUAUAUUAACAGUAUGGGGGGAGAGAUAUUAGCAUAUGAAUAAGCAACGGCUAACUCCGUGCCAGCAGCCGCGGUAAACGU